AAAGGCAAACUAAUAGCUUGAUUACUAGAAUAGUCAGGCUUACAAGAAUUAGAAGAAGAAGAAGAAGAGCAUACAGAAACAGAAGAACAACAAUUAGAAGAAGAUGAAGGUGGCACCCAAACAAGCUUGUACAGACCAGCCUCCUCUUUACCAAGAUCUAGAGGCAUCAAGAAUUAGAAGAAGAAGAGCAUACAGAAACAGAAGAACAACAAUUAGAAGAAGAUGAAGGUGGCACCCAAACAAGCUUGUACAGACCAGCCUCCUCUUUACCAAGAUCCAGAGGCAUUCUCAGAGAAGGGGCCUGUAACAAGUGAAGUAAACAGGAAGUUGCAGUGAACAAUACUAUGCAAUGCAACUGUUUCACUAACUUGUAGACAGAAAUCAAGUUAUGUUUGAAAGAAGGAACAAGUAGGACAUCAUGAAGAGUGGUGAAUGGAUUUAAUGCAAAAGAUCUUGUGCAUGUCACUUUCACUUUAUAUC
rnacentral:lncRNA from 1 species